CAGGUAGUGAAUGUAUAUUUAACAUAUAUACUUUCAAGAAUACAAAGUUGAUGCACUUUUCUGCAGUGAUGAGACUUCUUUUGAAGGUUUAUGUAAAGUGACUCAAAGUCGUGAGGCAUUGGUGCUCAUCCACCUAAGUACAUCAGCCUGGAGAUAGCUUCCCCUCUCAUAGACAGGCAGCUGAUUUAAGUUCCUGGAGUCAGGACAACUCUACUGGCUUGAAAGUGGAAAAGGCAGUGUUCCUUCCCUUCAUUGUUUCUUUAUUUCCUUGUGAUUAUGAUGUGCCCAUCCUUCUGGGUAAGGUUAGCUUAAGUGCCAGAAGAUUUCCUGUCAUGGAGUGAAGAACUAAAUAGGAUCUUAGAGAUGGAUCAGGUUGUGUUAAGACCUCAAAUUUGAGUCAUUUGCUCACUAGUUACUUGGAUUCCUCCCUUGAGAGCUGGAAGUUCUGAUUUCUAGUCAAAUAUUCAAUUAAACUGCUGUUGGUAUCUAA